UGCACGCAUGACUGUAAGUCGCUUUGGAUAAAAGCGCCAGCCAAAUGGCCUAUA
rfam:Salmo salar isolate Sally breed double haploid chromosome ssa09, whole genome shotgun sequence.